UUUUUAUUUUGAAUGUGGUUUGGUAGGUGACUUAGUUGGUUGAAAAUGGUUAAGUAUAGGGACUUUAAAGGAAUUUUUUUUGUUUUGAAUGUGGUUUGGUAGGAGACUUAGUUGGUUGAAAAUGGUUAAGUGUGAGGACUUUAAAGUGGAUUUUUUUGUUUUGAAUGUGGUUUGACAGGUGACUUAGUUGGUUGAAAAUAGUUAAGUAUAGGGACUUUAAAGGAAUUUUUUUUGUUUUGAAUGUGGUUUGGUAGGUGACUUAGUUGGUUGAAAAUGGUUAAGUAUAGGGACUUUAAAGAAAAUUUUUUUAUUUUAAAUAUGGUUUGGUAGGUGACUUAGUUGGUUAAAAAUGGUUAAGUGUGAGGACUUUAAAGGAGAUUUAUUUAUUUUGAAUGUGGUUUGGUAGGUGACUUAGUUGGUUGAAAAUGAUUAAGUGUAGCGACUUUAAAGGGGAUUUUUUUGUUUUGAAUGUGGUUUGUUAGAUGACUUAGUUGGUUGAAAAUGGUUAAGUGUAGGGACUUUAAAGGCAUUUUUUUUGUUUUGAAUGUGGUUUGUUAGAUGACUUAGUUGGUUGAAAAUGGUUAAGUGUAGGGACUUUAAAGGCAUUUUUUUUGUUUUGAAUGUGGUUUGUUAGAUGACUUAGUUGGUUGAAAAUGGUUAAGUGUAGGGACUUUAAAGGCAUUUUUUUUGUUUUGAAUGUGGUUUGUUAGAUGACUUAGUUGGUUGAAAAUGGUUAAGUGUAGGAAUUUUAAAGGAUUUCUUUUUGUUUUGAAUGCGGUUUGGUUGGUGACUUAAUUGAAUUUUUGUGACUUGAUCUAAUUAGUUGAAUCUGAUUGAUUACGUAGAUGGAACCUGAUUAUAGCUGGAUAUAUCAAUGGAACAAUGAUAAUAGAAUGGGUAUUAGGGAGAAAUUUAUU
rnacentral:lncRNA from 1 species